rnacentral:rRNA from 1 species
GUAGUCUGCAACCCGACUACAUGAAGACUGGAAAUCGCUAGUAAUCGCGAAUCAGAAUGUCGCGGUGAAUACGUUCCCGGGUCUUGUACACACCCGCCCGUCACACCAUGGGAGUCGGAAAUGCCCGAAGUCAGUGACCCCAACCGCAAGGAGGGAGCUGCCGAAGGUGGAGCCGGUAACUGGGGGUGAAGUCGUAACAAGGUAAC